rnacentral:rRNA from 1 species
ACGGGUGAGUAACACGUGGAUAACCUACCUAUAAGACUGGGAUAACUUCGGGAAACCGGAGCUAAUACCGGAUAACAUAUUGAACCGCAUGGUUCAAUAGUGAAAGGCGGCUUUGCUGUCACUUAUAGAUGGAUCCGCGCCGUAUUAGCUAGUUGGUAAGGUAACGGCUUACCAAGGUAACGAUACGUAGCCGACCUGAGAGGGUGAUCGGCCACACUGGAACUGAGACACGGUCCAGACUCCUACGGGAGGCAGCAGUAGGGAAUCUUCCGCAAUGGGCGAAAGCCUGACGGAGCAACGCCGCGUGAGUGAUGAAGGUCUUCGGAUCGUAAAACUCUGUUAUCAGGGAAGAACAAAUGUGUAAGUAACUGUGCACAUCUUGACGGUACCUGAUCAGAAAGCCACGGCUAACUACGUGCCAGCAGCCGCGGUAAUACGUAGGUGGCAAGCGUUAUCCGGAAUUAUUGGGCGUAAAGCGCGCGUAGGCGGUUUUUUAAGUCUGAUGUGAAAGCCCACGGCUCAACCGUGGAGGGUCAUUGGAAACUGGAAAACUUGAGUGCAGAAGAGGAAAGUGGAA